rnacentral:lncRNA from 1 species
AUUUCAUUGGCAGCAGGAGGCAGCUCACAGCCCCACUGGGCAUGUGACCACCCCCUUUGCUCUGGAACUCUAUCCAGGGAAGGUAGAAAAAGAGACCUUCUACAGCUCCUGCUCCUCAACUUCUCCUCCAGCACUUUAUUCUACAUGUCUUUGACUUAUUAGAACACAUCCUGUGGUUAAACCAUCCAGCAAAUAUUUAUCGAGCCA